AGAUUGAACGCUGGCGGCGUGCCUAACACAUGCAAGUCGAGCGGUAACAGGUGUAGCAAUACAUGCUGACGAGCGGCGAACGGGUGAGUAAUGCUUUGGAAUCUUCCCAGUAGUGGGGAAUAACCAGUCGAAAGAUUGGCUAAUACCGCAUACGUCUGUAAAGGGAAAGCGGGGGCUCGUAAGACCUCGCGCUAUUGGAUGAGCCAAAGUCGGAUUAGCUAGUUGGUGGGGUAAUGGCCUACCAAGGCGACAAUCCGUAGCUGGUCUGAGAGGACGACCAGCCACACCGGAACUGAGACACGGUCCGGACUCCUACGGGAGGCAGCAGUGGGGAAUAUUGGACAAUGGGGGAAACCCUGAUCCAGCGACGCCGCGUGUGUGAAGAAGGCCUGCGGGUUGUAAAGCACUUUUAGUGGGGACAAAAGCCACGGACUAACACUUCGUGGUCUUGAUUUAACCCAAAGAAAAGCACCGGCUAACUCUGUGCCAGCAGCCGCGGU
rnacentral:rRNA from 1 species